UCUGCCAUAUGUUCCAUCCAGCUCUAAACUGCAUGCUAAUUGUUCUGAAUGAACAGCUCCAGCUGGAAAAGCAGGCAGGCCGUUUAUAGACCUUAAGAUAACACCCAGCUUCCCGUAAGUGAGGGGUUUCCAGGGAAGGAGAAUGGAAAGUCUUUUCGGGGCCAGAACUGGGCGAGAUGGGCCCUGGGGCUGGGGCUGCAGUCCAGGGCAUCAUCUCUUCUUGGUCUCUACCCAAGUGGGCCGUUUCCGAGCAGCCCCACCUGACAGCCUCUGUGGCGGCCCAGAGGUGUUCCCCGGACCCAGCAGGCAAGCUCCCUGCAGGUGUGGGGAGCCCCUUCCGGCCCGUUCUUUUCCACUUCUAGAAUCCAGCAACACCCUAGUCAGCCGUUUGGGGUUGGCCCAGAUGAAGCCGCAGUGACUGCCGCCCGGCUCAGGGCCUGCCCCCGCAUGUGAGCCCAAUUGCUCCCUAUUUCUGUGAUGCUGAGGCAGCUCUGUCCUCCAUUUCUGUCAGCGUUUCCCAAGCACAGAAGGAGAAAUGUUGAAGUGGCGGUUUUCUGAUGAAGGAGGCAGGAGUCCUGGGGAGCUGAAAUCCUUGAUAAUGCCAAACAAUUCAACACUUUAUUCUCUCUUUACUCUGUCUGCACCACAGAAAAAUAUCGACUUCUGCUGCCAGCUGUGGGAAGUGAAAUCAGAUGCCACAUUCUUUCUUGCAUGCAGAAGUCUGUCCUGCUCGGGAGGCCCUGUCGCUACCCAAGGGUCUGUGAGGGUGAGACUUUAGGACCCUACGUCUGGUCUAACCAAGGUGAAGGGCAGCCCGACCCUACCUGCUCCCAGGGCAUAUGCACUGAAGGAUCUUGCACAUCUGAGGUGUCCGAGGCGGACAGAGACACUUUGCCUCUGCCCUUCUGCCUCCAUUGCUCAUGGUCCUUUCCCAGACAGUUCCAGCAGUGGACUGGCAGCAUCUGAUCUGAGCUCCGAAUAAUGCUGCCUGAGCCAGAGCCCUGGAGAUUGGCCAGCUGACGCCUCCAAGCUCAGAUUCUCAACUUGUGCAGCACAUUUUGGCCUGGGGCUAAAAUAAGCAUCUAUUACCAGCACCUUCAUUUCCUGGGGGAGGGGACUGGGGAUGGAGUGCAAGACUCGCCCAGGGCUACACAUUGCAAUCUUGCUAGAGCUUGAAACCUCUUCUCCUGACUCUAGGUCAGAAAUGUAUUCAUUUGUCAAUCUAUCCUUUGAGUCAUUUAGAAAUAUUAAACGCUUGCAGUGUGUCAGGCACUGUGUUUGGGCACAUGUAGCUUUCUCUGAAUCCAGGAGCUUAGCUGUCAGGCGUCCCCAUAGAGACAAAAUGCAGGGCCCUCACUGUUAGGAUCUGGGCAGGUUCUGUUAGGACAAAUGACAUCUGGCUUCAGAAGCAGGCAUUUUCAACUGCUCCCCCUCACCGCACUCAUGUCUCUCUCUUUCAUGCACGUGCUCGCGUGCGCGCGCGCACACACACACACACACACACACACACACACACACUCUCUCACCUGCACUCCAGCCACCACCCUGGAGCACACUGAGUACCUGGAGCCUCUAUUAUGUUAAUAUAGCAUUUCCCCCUUUUCCUGUAAGUGUGGUUAAGAGUCUGGGCAUGGGAGUCCAAAUGCCAGGGCCUUAAUCUUCAUUCUACUAUUUGCCAACUUGAAGACUGUGGCAAGUUGUUUAACCUCUCUGUGCCCCAAUGGCCUCCUCUGUAAAAUGGGGAUAAUAAUAAGACGCCUAGAUAGGAUUAAAUGGGAUGAUACAUGUAACGUGUUUAGCACAGUGCGAAGCACAUAGUAUUCAAAACCUGCUAGUUGUUUUGCUAUUGCUAUUGUUAUUAUUAUUGCCAUUAUUAUUAGUCUGGUAGGGAGUGGUCAAAAGAGGGAUAAAGGUGAGUGGGAAAAGAGAAGUCUCCAGCCUUGGCUUAGCCAUUUGGCUCUUUCCAAAGCAGACUCUCCAAAGAUGUCAUUCCAAAGUCAGGGUGUGAGCCACUCACGUGGGUCCCUUCCUGUCCCCUCUGCCACCCUCCACACUGCCAUGCGGGAGACCCGAUAGCUACAGAGCACAGGGUCAGCUCUCUUCCUCUUCUCUUCCUCUCCCUGCCCUGGACUCUCUCCAGAGGCCAGUAACCCCAGCCCUGGACAGUCACCCAGACAACACCAAGUGUUGUCUAUUUAGUGGGGAGAGUCAUCUGUCUGCCAGGCCCAAGGCCCACCUUAUAUCACGCACAGCACUGCCCUGAGGGGACAGCAGCCAAGGUGGCUCAGAAACAAAUGGAGAGAGACGGGAAGAGACUGAGCUGGUUUGGGUCCUUCUGGGUUUGCUCCACAGCUUUCAGGGAGCCCCGUGGUCACUUCUGGCCCAGAUCCCAGGCUCAGGAAGGCAAAGCCUCCUAGGAGGGAGGAUGCGAGGAGAUGCAGCCCUCUUCCCAACUCCAAGGUUCCUCAUUCUCACCCUCUCCAGGUGGGGGAAUAAGGAGGACAUCAGGACAGUAACUUCGGGCUCCUACCAGUGCCGUUUGUAAAACAUUUACACAUCCCUUCAUUUCUCCCAAUGAUCUUUGAGAUCAACAAGGCAGAUAUAAUUGAUCCCAUUUAAUUGAUAGAUGUAUUGAGGCUCAGAGAUGCUAAAUGGCUUGCCCAGGGUCAUGAGGACGUGGUACUGGUAGGAUCCACCCCCACUUCCCUGAUUCCUGGUUGAGCACACCUUUCCUCCAUCACCCUGCCCUUCGCCCUGGCCUUGGUCAGCUCUCCUUUCUCCAUGGGCACAGAUGGUGGGCUUGUCUAACCGGCUCCCUCAUCUGGUGCCCAGGGAGGGGGAGGCAGCCAGAGCUACACACUCAGACAGUGUCUUGGCCUCUAACACGAUAACCAGUGGUCAGGUGAGAACUAAGAAAGGAACCCACAGGGCAUGAGGAGAUGCUGGAAACAAAUCAAAGGUCAGGAAUCAAAAUCUGAGACCACAGUUUGGCCUCUUCUGACAGCCCUGCAGCUUGGGCUGCAUUCAUUCAUUCAUUCAUUCAUUCAAAGUACUUAUCCGGUACCUGACACUGCUAAGAUCUGGCCUUUCAGCUGCUCAGAGCUUGGGGCCCCGAGCUCUGCCUGCGCACAGCCCAGGCCAAGUGUCCCCAUGGGGCUGAGGGAACAGAACGGGGGCAGAGGCUCUGCUUUACCCUUCCUAGCAUCAGGGCCGACCCUCCAGCUGCCGCUUCAGAGCUCAAGCCAAUUUCAGAAAGAGCCGGCCAGGCUGAGGCAGCCCAGGUGUGCAGGGAGGGAGGAGGUGAUGCUCCUACAACACUGUGACCAGUGUGCUGUUUCUAAGGUGCCCCAUGUGGGCCCAGUGUGGGGACUCAUACACAAGAUGGCCUAUAGAGCCAAAGCGUCACUCAGCAGGACGCUUUGCUUUUCCAGGUCUCCCGACACCCAUCUGUAAGAGUAACCUGUGCA